rnacentral:rRNA from 1 species
CCUACGGGGAGCAGCAGUGGGGGAUAUUGCACAAUGGGGGGAACCCUGAUGCAGCGACGCCGCGUGGGUGAAGGAGUGCUUCGGCAUGUAAAGCCCUAUCGGCAGGGAAGAAGCAAGACGGUACCUGACUAAGAAGCCCCGGCUAACUACGUGCCAGCAGCCGCGGUAAUACGUAGGGGGCGAGCGUUAUCCGGAUUCACUGGGUGUAAAGGGAGCGCAGACGGCUGUGCAAGUCUGGAGUGAAAGGCGGGGGCCCAACCCCCGGACUGCUCUGGAAACUGUAAAGCUGGAGUGCAGGAGAGGUAAGCGGAAUUCCUAGUGUAGCGGUGAAAUGCGUAGAUAUUAGGAGGAACACCAGUGGCGAAGGCGGCUUACUGGACUGCAACUGACGUUGAGGCUCGAAAGCGUGGGGAGCAAACAGGAUUAGAUACCCGAGUAGUC